UUUUUUUAACCCCAGGGGAUCAUUAUUGUUUUUCUCUCUCAGCAUGUAAAUUAUUCCUAAAGCUCAUGAUUGAAAAACAUAAUUACCAUUCAGCACAGGAAGUAAUUUAUACUUCCUGUAUGAUGGAUCCUGUCUUUACAGAAGCCCUGCCCACAAGUUUCUCCGGGGUCUUAGCAGAUAUCAUAUUGAACUAUCAUAUAAUGGCCUCUGAUGUGCUCUGAUUCCACUAAGGUUUUCAACCAUAUCGCAGAUUUCCCAAGCUUCAUCCAUCAGGAUCACUCUCUGGGUACAACUGCCUUUUUUCCUUGUCAGACUAUAACUUUAGUGUGCUGUGACAUUAAAACCACAUCUUGCUGAAAACCACAAACAGUGGAAAGCAAAGCAUGGGAAAGCCUGGACUCUGCCAAUGAAUCACCAGUGGACUCAUAGAACUGCAGUCCCUUUAUCUGCGUCUGCCCAAUGGGGGAAAGGUGGGUUCACAGACUACUAAGUGCACUCUCGUCCGCGAGUACCCUGUAAUAAUCUUCCCUCUGUGCAUUUUUGCUGUUAUGCUGCCAUCGAACACUUGAUUUUUCAAAGCUCCCUGUUUAAUGUCAAUAUGUCAACAGCAGAUCUUGAGUGACUGUCAUCUUUCUCCGAUUGUUUUCAACAGCGGAUCUGGAAAGAGGCCACUUAGAAACCCCAAAACUCUAAGAGCAGGAUGCAUGUUCAGAUGGGUGGGCCCUGAAUCCCUAAAGUCAUCCCAAAAUUCUCAUCUGUGAUUGGCCAUUUCCCAAGUCAGGGAUAGGAUGUUCAAUAAAAUCUCCUUGAUUUGAACUGGGGCGGGAAGCAUGUGUUAAAAAAAAUACAGAUUCAAUUGGACUUCGGCCAUCCAAAAUAAAUAUCCAAUGCACUCGCCUAGCGCUCUUUGCAAAGAUGCAAAUGGAUUCAACCUGAGACCCAGGAGCCUGUAAGGAAGCCCAGGUGGAUUGGAUCGAUGGCCGUGACGAGGCUAUAAUGUGAAGAGUCAGCACAUGAAUAGGAAGGCUGCAGCAGGAAGCGAAGGACAGUUCUUCAGGAACUGGAGAAACAGCUGGUCACUGGCCUGGACUGUGCGUGUUCCCCAGGCCUGUGAUCUCAUUCGCACGAUGGACGUCCCUUGACGUGGCGAAACAGCAUCUGACUUUUCGUUCAUCACUAAAUCAAGCUGAUGAUCAGGAGCAAGUCCAACCAGCUCACAUCAUGCAGACAUUUUAUAAAGUUGUAUCCACUCAAGCUUGACUUUAUGUGUUUUUGUGUAUUUGCAGAACUGUUUUAUGGGGUAUAAUGAGAGCGGAGAGUCAUUCAGUGGACAGACCAACAUUAACUCAUAUACAGAAGAGAACAUAAACUGAGGUACUGUGUCUCAAAAUGGGCUCUGCAAGGGUAAAGGAACAUGUCAAAAUCUACAUAUUUUAUAUUAUUAUGGUUUCACUCUGCUCUGGACGGAUUGGUCGAACAUCGUAGAUUAAUCACAAAACAUUUUCAUUCUAUUGUCAAUUUCUUUUUAGUUUUAUACAUCUAAACAGUAUUCAAAUGGUCCUUCAUA